rnacentral:rRNA from 1 species
UACGCAGGGUGCAAGCGUUAAUCGGAAUUACUGGGCGUAAAGCGUGCGCAGGCGGUUGUGCAAGACAGAUGUGAAAUCCCCGGGCUCAACCUGGGAACUGCAUUUGUGACUGCACAGCUUGAGUGCGGCAGAGGGGGAUGGAAUUCCGCGUGUAGCAGUGAAAUGCGUAGAUAUGCGGAGGAACACCGAUGGCGAAGGCAAUCCCCUGGGCCUGCACUGACGCUCAUGCACGAAAGCGUGGGGAGCAAACAGG